UGGGGAAUAUUGGACAAUGGGGGAAACCCUGAUCCAGCGACGCCGCGUGUGUGAAGAAGGCCUGCGGGUUGUAAAGCACUUUUAGUGGGGACAAAAAGCUACGGACUAAUACUCUGUGGUCUUGAUUUAACCUACAGAAAAAGCACCGGCUAACUCUGUGCCAGCAGCCGCGGUAAUACAGAGGGUGCGAGCGUUAAUCGGAAUUACUGGGCGUAAAGCGCGCGUAGACGGUUUUGUAAGUCGGAUGUGAAAUCCCCGGGCUCAACCUGGGAACUGCGUUCGAUACUGCAUGGCUAGAGUACGGUAGAGGGAAGCGGAAUUUCCGGUGUAGCGGUGAAAUGCGUAGAUAUCGGAAGGAACACCAGUGGCGAAAGCGGCUUCCUGGACCAGUACUGACGUUCAUGUGCGAAAGCGUGGGGAGCAAACAGGAUUAGAUACCCGCGUAGUCC
rnacentral:rRNA from 1 species